AAUGUCAAACAACACAAAUACUAAUCUACGAUUCGCCAGUCCCGUGUAGGUCUCCGAACGAAAUGAGAGUAAUUAAACUAAUCGAUGUAAUUUAGUAUAUGAAUUACGGUAUUCUACUAGACUGUGAUUUGGACAAACUCGAAAGAUCGAUCUGCGCUUUAUUGCUCCAUUGCUUUAUUACGCAUUGGAUUGUUGUACCGAUAUAGAAGGGUUCCGUUGCGAGCUUUGACGCGUGACUGUUAAUUAAAGCUGAUUGUAUUGUUAAUAUAGUCCAUAAAGAACAUAGCAUAAAACGUAGACAUAAUUCCUUGGGUGAAAUCACGGAAUAAAAAUGGUAAAAACGUGUCGUAUAGAUGUUGGUGUCGUUCAGCUUUGCUCUCGAGUUUCAAUUCUUUUUGUGCUUUGCCUGCUUCCUUUUUAUAUCUGUGCAAGAAGCGCCAUUAGUAUGUUCUAAAGUUUCUGAUUAAAAGAAACCACUUAUCGUACUCGGUUCAUAAGUGUUUAAAAAUGGCAAGAUUUUAUGUAUCGUAGAAACAUUGAUUUAGAAAUGUUUCGCGUAAAACAGAAAUAUUAAUCCUAACGUUAUACCAUUUAUAAGUGUUCGAACGUUGUAAGACGAAUGUAUCUUGUUACUAAUUUAUUAUCUUUUCUGAAAGAAACAAUUGUUUAAGUUUUACUGGAAUUUCCCUCUGUAAUUUUUCUAUUAUCUCGAAAAACAUGUAAACCGUUUUCUUUAUUUUUGAACUGAAAUUGCAUUAAAAAACACAAUCCUUUAGACCUUACUUCUAUAAUCUCUAAACUUUAUACUAUUUAAACUUUAUCUCGACAUAAUUCUCUUUUCCAUCUACCCUUUUCUAUGAAACUCACGAAGCUUGAAGAAUGGAAGGAUGAUCGAAACUCAGUUUUAUUUAAUAUUAAUCUUCGUAAAUUCCCAACGAAGUAUUACUUCGUUGGUACUAAAAAGAAUAAUUACCAUUGUAGAUUUUCUAUAAAAACCGAUCAGCGAUUAUACGAUCUACGUAAAUAACGCGUAAAUUUAACGUUACGUAACCACGAUACAGGCAUCGAAAAUGUAUCAAUUAUGCAAACGAUGGAAUCACAUACCAACAGCGAAAAUCAAUCCCAUCGAUCUCGUGACUUCUGUAUUUAGAUAUCGGCUUUAUAGCAAACAAAAAUCAACAGCAAACAGUAAAUGCUAUAGGAAACAAGGCAAGUGGGAUUUUCAACCAAUUUUAAACGAUAAAUUCCGCUAUCUCGGAAAGAAAACUUCUUUCAAAAUUGUCUUACAUCGAACAAACGGAUCAUUUUCUUUAACGAGAUCGGGGAACUCGAGAUUUCUAUCCUCUCUGGCAGAGCUCACUGGCCUUAUUGUUUCAACGAUAUCCCGACGUUCUUCGACAACGCGAAACGACCCGGUAAGAAACCGUAAAUCGAACGAUCGACUUGAAAUUUACGACCAGCCAUGGAUCCGUUUUUAUUAUAAACCGAUAUAGAUAAGAACCAUCGUGUAGAGUGGUGUGAUCAACUGUAAAGCCUCGUUCAGAUUAUUUCAGUCACUUGAAUCUAAACAAUUUCACUUCAACUUUGUACUCGUACGAGUGCACGAGCUUGACUCGAUGCCAACGCGACUCAUUCUUAAAUAAGUUGAUCAAUUUGAACGAACCUGUUCCUUUUUGGGCGUCCAUCUCCUCGAUAGAGAGACGUGACUGCCGAACAGUAACAGUUUUCUUUAAAAGUUUCCUUCGGAAGAAGAAUUACCCAAUCGAUAGCUACCGAGGUCCAUUGCAAAAAAGUUUGUAACUUCAUUACCACUAUGAACCGUUUGAACCGAGAAACAUCGAAGAAGGGAGAAACUUUGUAGAGAAACUUCAAGCGGGGUUGAAGCUAGGAGCGUAAUUGUGUUGAUACGACUGAAAUGCUAUUGAUAUUUGUGAAAAUUAAAGGUAAUGACAUAUUAAAUUGGCUGGAGUUGGGAUUUUUUUUUUCAAAAGUUCAGAAAGUACCAUUCAUUCUUCUUUCGACCUAGAGAAUAAAAGAAUCUUUAAAAAACUUAUUUUCUUUUAAGGGACUACACCUGUUUUACCUUUUCUUUCUGCCUUUGCAGAAUACCGUUCCUUGUAUCCUUCAAAAUACGCGAACAAAGUUGCAAAUAGAUGUAAAUAAUUUUUCAAGACGUCUCCUUCUAUCGUAAUCUAUGAAAAACGAAAUAAUUUGUUCCGUUUAAGUCGAACUUUAAUUAAUAUCACGAAGUUAUUUCCUUGCGCAUUAUAGAAUGUAUAAAGCAAAAUGAUCUACGAUAUACGCAUCAAAUAUUAACUUCUCAGAAUUAUGUCCUUCUAACAUAGGGUACAUACAUAUAUAGGAUGAAGUAAUUCGUGGUGUUAAAGUUAAACUGCGAUCAAUAAUGUUAGGUGUUUAUAACGUAGCUAUAACCGUAUAAAUUCAAUUUCGAAUGGCACGUAUCAAGAAUCAGAUAGAGACGAGUUGGUUACAUUUGAACCUGUGUAAGAUAAAUCAGAUCUAGAUUAGGUAUAACUGAAUCGAGUCGGGUUUAAACUACAUAGAACUAUAUUGGACUAUGUUUCCGGAGUACAUCUAAAUUAGUUCUCAGUUACAUCUGGAUAACGAGCAAUCCAAGUAGAAGUUCAAUAAGAAGGAAAUUACUUCCCAAGAAUGUGGAACUGCUUUGACGAAAUUAUUUCCAAUGGAUCUCAUUGACAUCGCGUAAAGAAAACAUUUCAUUUGUAACAUCCUUCACACAGAUUACAAAUCAACUAAUUAUCCGAUUUCCUACAAAAUCAUAAAAUUAUAAAAUAAAAGUCUAUAACAUGUAACUGAAUUAUCGCGCGCAAGAGAGCGUAGAUUUUCAAAAAGAAAUAUAUUGUCAGUCCUUGCUGUCCUAAUACUUACGGCGUAUAGCGUACGUAAGACGAUAAACCAACCGUAGUAACGCUACAAUCUCCACUACACUAAAUCCAUUAACAAUUAGAAAAGGAAGCUGCUCCACCUAUUCCCCAAACCCACAAUCCACUAACCAAACGCGUAUCCUUUUCUAAUCCAGGAAAGAUCAUUCUCCUCGCCAUUAAACGUCCCAUUCUGUCGCACGAAAGUCCAAGUUCCAGUAGUAUAACCCGCGUUAUGGCGCGACAGGCCACAGUCUCCGUUAUGGCUGCAACGUGAAAAGGAAGGAAUGGAAAAAAAGAAAGGUAAAAAGGGAAGAAUGGAGGAAAGAGUAUGGCGGUUGGCCACGAGUCGUUAAAGUUUCGCAAGAUAAACGACGAGUGGCAGCAAGCUAGAGGACGAGUGAUAUUACGCGCGAAAAGGCGCUCGAGCCUGCACGACCUAGAAAUGGUUUACCGUCUACGUCAAUGCCGAGCAACGGAGAAUAAGGUUUAAACGGGAUAGUAGGCAGCCACUUUAAGGCUGGCGAUAAAAAAACAGAUCGACCGACCGACCCGUCUUCCUGCCUCGAGAGCGGUGGCGAGUGUUAUUUUAGAAUUAAGGGCAACUGCCGACGCGGCAAUCGUACACAAGGCCGAUACACAAUCGGAAAAACAACGUUUUGUCGAUGAUAGAACGUUUCGUUGGAUCGCUGUCUUGGGGGGAACGCAAAAGAGAAAUAUGAUAACUACACUUUUAUUGAUUUUCUGGCUUUAAUGUUGGCAUAUGAUUAAACAAUUUUGAUAUGACAUAAUUGAAAAUAACCUAAUAAUAAUAAUUGAAAGAUACGUGUCUUAAAAGUAACUGAUAGGUUAAUGUUUCGUGGAAGCUGAAUAAUAUAGAAUAAACGAUGGCGCUAGGAAACGAAUUACAAGAAGACAUUUUCCACAUGAAUUCGUCGCCACCGAAGGAAACAGUCAGCAAAAUUGAAUUAACGAUCGUCGACGGUGAGCACGGAAGACAAUUUACAGGGGACUUUUUGCUCGAAGACUUUCGAUUUAUGGGGUACGAGUUUCACCUCGUUCUCAGAAGAUAUAUGAACGCUGUUUCACUUACCUGCGAUCAUAAGAUCGACUAAGGCUUUGUCCUUUUGUAUGUACAAUGCUGUAAGGAAGAAAAAUAAGCUGCCAAUGACUGCCACAAACAUUGUAAGAAACAAAGCGUACU